GAUGAACGCUAGCGGCAGGCCUAACACAUGCAAGUCGAGGGGCAGCGCGGUGUAGCAAUACACUGGCGGCGACCGGCAGAAGGGUGCGUAACGCGUGAACAACAUGCCCGACACAGGGGGAUAAGCGGUGGAAACGCCGUUCAAUACCGCAUGACGCUUUUGGGUGGCAUCGCCCGAAAGCCAAAUUCGCGAGAAGGUGUCGGAUUGGUUCGCGAGACAUUAGCCGGUUGGCGGGGUAACGGCCCACCAAAGCUAUGAUGUCUAGGGGUUCUGAGAGGAAGGUCCCCCACACUGGAACUGAGACACGGUCCAGACUCCUACGGGAGGCAGCAGUGAGGAAUAUUGGACAAUGGUCGGAAGACUGAUCCAGCCAUGCCGCGUGAAGGGAAAGGUCCUAUGGAUUUUCAACUUCUUUUGUACGGGGGCAAUAAGGUCCACGCGUGGAUCGAUGAGAGUACCGUACGAAUAAGCAUCGGCUAACUCCGUGCCAGCAGCCGCGGUAAUACGGAGGAUGCGAGCGUUAUCCGGAUUUAUUGGGUUUAAAGGGUGCGUAGGCGGACUUUCAAGUCAGUGGUGAAAUGCCCGGGCCAAACCCGGGAGCUGCCGUUGAAACUGGGGGUCUAGGAUACGGUUGCCGUGKGAGGAAUGAGUAGUGUAGCGGUGAAAUGCAUAGAUAUUACUCAGAACGCCGAUUGCGAAAGCAUCUCACGAAGCCGUCAUUGACGCUGAGGCACGAAAGUGUGGGGAUCGAACAGGAUUAGAUACCCUGGUAGUCCACACAGUAAACGAUGAUAACUAGCUGUCGGCGAUAUACAGUCGGAGGCUAAGCGAAAGCGAUAAGUUAUCCACCUGGGGAGUACGACCGCAAGGUUGAAACUCAAAGGAAUUGACGGGGGCCCGCACAAGCGGAGGAACAUGUGGUUUAAUUCGAUGAUACGCGAGGAACCUUACCCGGGCUUGAAUUGCAUCUGGAGCCUGCAGAGACGCAGGCGUCCUUCGGGACAGAUGUGAAGGUGCUGCAUGGUUGUCGUCAGCUCGUGCCGUGAGGUGUCGGCUUAAGUGCCAUAACGAGCGCAACCCUUGUCCACAGUUACCAUCAGGCGAAGCUGGGGACUCUGUGGAGACUGCCACCGUAAGGUGAGAGGAAGGGGGGGAUGACGUCAAAUCAGCACGGCCCUUACGUCCGGGGCGACACACGUGUUACAAUGGUGGGUACAGAGGGGCGCUACGCCGCGAGGCGAUGCCAAUCUCGAAAACCCAUCUCAGUUCGGACUGGAGUCUGCAACCCGACUCCACGAAGCUGGAUUCGCUAGUAAUCGCACAUCAGCCAUGGCGCGGUGAAUACGUUCCCGGGCCUUGUACACACCGCCCGUCAAGCCAUGGAAGCCGAGGGUGCCUGAAGUUCGGGACCGAGAGGACCGACCUAGGGCAAAAUUGGUAACUGGGGCU
rnacentral:rRNA from 1 species